AUGACUCUUAUGCCCUUUAGCUAUUUGGUUGGGGAUCACCGGUCUUUAGUUCGACCAUCAAGUUUCAUCUUGGACACCAUCUCUUUGAGAUUUGGUUUGCUUUUACUUGCCAUCCCCAGUUUUGAUUCAGGGUAUGCUUUUUUUCAUACACCGGCCCGCACGCGGCCGUUACAAGACGAACUGCAUUGGCGCACGCCGAAACCCUCUCUCUCCCCUCUCUCCCCUCUCUCGUCUUCUCACCUCCGAAGAUGCCCAUAGUCAUGAUCUGCAAAUCUCAAUGAUCCCCGCUGCCGCAGCCGCCUGCCGCUCCUUCCGCAAGCUGCCGCCAUGGAAACCGACAUCCAACUUACCGCAUAGGAGAACGAGAAACCUCGAUCUGUGUUCCCUCUUGCGACUUCCGGAAACCAAAUGUGGCUCCGGGUGAUUCGGCAACCUCCGCUUCCACCGGACUCCCUGUACUCACUCCGAUAUGGUUCGCAUGUCAGGCAAGUCUGGUCGUUCGAAACUUUUUAGAUUCCAGUAUUCGUCUCUCGCUGAUGCAUUCAGUUAUUGGUGUCUCAUCCAAGCCACUGCACAUGUGACAAUGUCUUAAGUAUAAUUGUUAUUAUUAAAUAUUUUAUUUAAUAAUAAUAUAAUCGUUCUCAUUAA